GACAGAGGGUGCAAACGUUGUUCGGAAUUACUGGGCGUAAAGCGCGUGUAGGCGGCUUGGCAAGUCGGAUGUGAAAGCCCAGGGCUCAACCCUGGAAGUGCACUCGAAACUGCCGAGCUUGAGUCCCGGAGAGGAAGGCGGAAUUCUCGGUGUAGAGGUGAAAUUCGUAGAUAUCGAGAGGAACACCUGUGGCGAAGGCGGCCUUCUGGACGGUGACUGACGCUGAGACGCGAAAGCGUGGGGAGCAAACAGG
rnacentral:rRNA from 1 species